UACGGAGGGUGCAAGCGUUAUCCGGAUUCACUGGGUUUAAAGGGUGUGUAGGCGGGCUAUUAAGUCAGUGGUGAAAUCUCCGGGCUCAACCCGGAAACUGCCAUUGAUACUAUUAGUCUUGAAUACCGUGGAGGUCAGCGGAAUAUGUCAUGUAGCGGUGAAAUGCUUAGAUAUGACAUAGAACACCAAUUGCGAAGGCAGCUGGCUACACGAAUAUUGACACUGAUGCACGAAAGCGUGGGGAUCAAACAGG
rnacentral:rRNA from 1 species